AAAUUGAAGAGUUUGAUCAUGGCUCAGAUUGAACGCUGGCGGCAGGCCUAACACAUGCAAGUCGAACGGUAACAGGAAGCAGCUUGCUGUUUCGCUGACGAGUGGCGGACGGGUGAGUAAUGUCUGGGAAACUGCCUGAUGGAGGGGGAUAACUACUGGAAACGGUAGCUAAUACCGCAUAACGUCGCAAGACCAAAGAGGGGGACCUUCGGGCCUCUUGCCAUCGGAUGUGCCCAGAUGGGAUUAGCUUGUUGGUGGGGUAACGGCUCACCAAGGCGACGAUCCCUAGCUGGUCUGAGAGGAUGACCAGCCACACUGGAACUGAGACACGGUCCAGACUCCUACGGGAGGCAGCAGUGGGGAAUAUUGCACAAUGGGCGCAAGCCUGAUGCAGCCAUGCCGCGUGUAUGAAGAAGGCCUUCGGGUUGUAAAGUACUUUCAGCGGGGAGGAAGGGAGUAAAGU
rnacentral:rRNA from 3 species